GAGAGCCGGUUUUCCUUGGUAACGUGCCCGAGGGUAGGGCCGUCUGAGAGAACGAAAGGGCAGCGGAGAGAGAAACGGAUGGUCGGGGUGGCGGAGAGGUUUGGGGCCGGGGAAGGGGGAGAAAAAGUGCUCUGAAAGCAACUGCGCACGCGCAACCGGGGCGCAGACCCUCCUGCUUUACCCAGGGUCCCGGCUCCCGGCGGAGGGGAGCGGCGCCGGCGCGCGGGCUGCCGCACCGCGCAUGCGUGGGAGUGAGCCGCAUUCCUGAACGUGAACUGGGAGCGGCGGCUGGUGGCUUGGGAGGCAGGCAGUUUGACCCAGUGGCGAGGGUACGACCGGUACUUCGAUUCGGGUAUUGAAGGUUCUGAAGGCUGGGACACAGGGAAAGAACCUGGAAGUCCCGAGCCGCUGAGAGGAGUUCUGGACUGACAGGACUCCAGGCGCUGCUGCUGUUAGCCAUUCCACAGUACUGAAGUCAGUGAACAGCACCGUAUACCUUGCAAGCGUGGUAGCAGUGUUUCCAAUUCACAGGCUAGAGGGCAUGCAGCCUUCAGUAGCUGUGGCACAAGGAUUUAGUUGCCCCAAGGCACAUGGAAUCAUCCUGGACCGGGAAUUGAGCCUGUGUGCCCUGCAUUGGCAGAUUUCACUCUGAACUGCCUGUCCCAUUUUGAUGUGGAAACAUCUGGAAACAUUUCCCAUCUGCUACUGCACUCCUUGAGGACAAUUCAGCUUUCCACUGAAUCCAGAGCUGAUGUUUUGGGAGGAGGAGCAGAAAAAGAGGCCCAAAGCAGAUUCAAGUAACAGUCUACUGCAGCCGGGAAAAGGAUGGAGAGUGAUGGAGGAACGUACUGCCAGAGGAGAUGAUGUUUGAGCCAGGACCCGAGUGCAGUGAGGAACAAAGCCAUGGACAUAAUCAGGGAUUUCUAGCAGUGGGAAUGCAAGCACAGAGGCCCUGAAGCGGAAAAGGAUUUAUCAAGUGGAAGGCAGAGCAAGACGCUUAGAGCCUCAAGGCUUGAUUCUACAGUAAAACUACUCCAAAGUCUCAAAGAAUGCAAUCUCUAGCCUAUCUUUUAUCUUUUAUCCAUAUUUUUUAAAAAAUCUAUUUUGAAAAAGAAAUCUCACAGAGAAAAGUUCAAGUAUAGCGUGGUAAUUUUUUCUUUGAAACAUUUGGGAGCAAGGAAAUUGAUGUGGUCCAUUGCCCUGAAUUUUUUUUUUUUUUUGCCACACUCUGUGGCUUACAGUUCCCCAACGAAGGAUCAAACCUGGACAGUUAGCAG
ensembl:lncRNA